UACGAAGGGGGCUAGCGUUGUUCGGAAUUACUGGGCGUAAAGCGCACGUAGGCGGAUACUUAAGUCAGGGGUGAAAUCCCGGGGCUCAACCCCGGAACUGCCUUUGAUACUGGGUAUCUCGAGUCCGGAAGAGGAGAGUGGAAUUCCCGGUGUAGCGGUGAAAUGCGCAGAUAUCGGGAAGAACACCCGUGGCGAAGGCGGCUCUCUGGGACGGUACUGACGCUGAGACGCGAAAGCGUGGGGAGCGAACAGG
rnacentral:rRNA from 1 species